AGAGGGAGAGAAAAUCAGUAGAGGGGACGACAUAAAAGACCUGGAGGCGAAAACAGACUAAAAAACCCUAAUCCAAAAAGAGGCAAGCAACAGAAAGAGGUGGAGGCAAAAAUCUGAAAGAGAGAAAAACCUAAAACCCCAAAAUCGUACCUGGAGGCCAGUUUUCUUCGCAUCCAUCACCACCACCGCAGCGACGCCCUGUAAGAACCUUUCUUUCCUACUCUUUUUAUUUCUCUUCAUGCUUGUUGUUUGAUUGUUUUUUGUGAGAGCUGAGAGUGUUUGAAAGGGGUUUCGUUGAGAGCAAGAGUGAGAUUGAGUGAAAUGUGAAGUCUGGGGUGCGUGAGGUUGCCAUUGUUGGGGAAGUUUUGAGCUCGUAAGAUGCGAGAGAGAGGGAGGAAGACGAACUCCUCUGUAUUCUCUUCCCUGUUCCCAUUUCUUUUUCUGUUUUCUUUUUUUAUUAAUUUCUUUUUUUAUUUAUUUAACUUAAUUUGUUUUUUACAGAGAUAAUACAAAAACCAUAAGAAUGUUUGUUUUGCUUUUAUUUUAAAUCUUUAGCCCGGUUCAUGUACUUAGCGUAGUAUCUCAGUAGCAGUUGAUGUUGAGUGGCCUAGUGGAGAGAGGGUAGUUUCAUAAUAUUAAGUGGAGAGGGUUCAAUACUCAUGUGUGUCAUUUUUUGGCAUUUUAUUUCUUUUAGCUAUAUUGUUUUUUCUUUUAGCAUUUUAGUUUCUUUUUAUGUUUAUGCCUUUAUUACACUCAUAUGUUCAUUUUGUUAAUAAUGUAAAGUUGUUGUAUUUUAAUUUAAUUCAAAACCAUUUUAAAACUAUAAAAAUCAUACUUUUCUCGAUUUAAUAUCGAGCCCUUUUUUCACACCCUCGUAAGUCGAUUGCUUUUUAAGCAUCGCCGUCGACCUCACAUAGCUUACUCUUGGGCUUCCUUACAAUGAGACAUGUCCCUUGCACUUACACUCAUACAUUGUUUAAUGCUUCAUUAUUUCAUUCU
rnacentral:lncRNA from 1 species